UACGUAGGGUGCAAGCGUUUAUCCGGAAUUAUUGGGCGUAAAGAGCUCGUAGGCGGUUUGUCGCGUCUGCUGUGAAAACUGGAGGCUCAACCUCCAGCCUGCGGUGGGUACGGGCAGACUAGAGUGAUGUAGGGGAGACUGGAAUUCCUGGUGUAGCGGUGAAAUGCGCAGAUAUCAGGAGGAACACCGGUGGCGAAGGCGGGUCUCUGGGCCGUAACUGACGCUGAGGAGCGAAAGCGUGGGGAGCAAACAGG
rnacentral:rRNA from 1 species